rnacentral:rRNA from 1 species
GGUGAAAAGCACCCCGGAAGGGGAGUGAAAUAGAACCUGAAACCGUGUGCUUACAAGUAGUCAGAGCCCGUUAAUGGGUGAUGGCGUGCCUUUUGUAGAAUGAACCGGCGAGUUACGAUUUGAUGCAAGGUUAAGCAGUAAAUGUGGAGCCGUAGCGAAAGCGAGUCUGAAUAGGGCGUUUAGUAUUUGGUCGUAGACCCGAAACCAGGUGAUCUACCCUUGGUCAGGUUGAAGUUCAGGUAACACUGAAUGGAGGACCGAACCGACUUACGUUGAAAAGUGAGCGGAUGAACUGAGGGUAGCGGAGAAAUUCCAAUCGAACCUGGAGAUAGCUGGUUCUCUCCGAAAUAGCUUUAGGGCUAGCCUCAAGUGAUGAUUAUUGGAGGUAGAGCACUGUUUGGACGAGGGGCCCCUCUCGGGUUACCGAAUUCAGACAAACUCCGAAUGCCAAUUAAUUUAACUUGGGAGUCAGAACAUGGGUGAUAAGGUCCGUGUUCGAAAGGGAAACAGCCCAGACCACCAGCUAAGGUCCCAAAAUAUAUGUUAAGUGGAAAAGGAUGUGGCGUUGCCCAGACAACUAGGAUGUUGGCUUAGAAGCAGCCAUCAUUUAAAGAGUGCGUAAUAGCUCACUAGUCGAGUGACACUGCGCCGAAAAUGUACCGGGGCUAAACAUAUUACCGAAGCUGUGGAUUGUCCUUUGGACAAUGGUAGGAGAGCGUUCUAAGGGCGUUGAAGCAUGAUCGUAAGGACAUGUGGAGCGCUUAGAAGUGAGAAUGCCGGUGUGAGUAGCGAAAGACGGGUGAGAAUCCCGUCCACCGAUUGACUAAGGUUUCCAGAGGAAGGCUCGUCCGCUCUGGGUUAGUCGGGUCCUAAGCUGAGGCCGACAGGCGUAGGCGAUGGAUAACAGGUUGAUAUUCCUGUACCACCUAUAAUCGUUUUAAUCGAUGGGGGGACGCAGUAGGAUAGGCGAAGCGUGCGAUUGGAUUGCACGUCUAAGCAGUAAGGCUGAGUAUUAGGCAAAUCCGGUACUCAUUAAGGCUGAGCUGUGAUGGGGAGAAGACAUUGUGUCUUCGAGUCGUUGAUUUCACACUGCCGAGAAAAGCCUCUAGAUAGAAAAUAGGUGCCCGUACCGCAAACCGACACAGGUAGUCAAGAUGAGAAUUCUAAGGUGAGCGAGCGAACUCUCGUUAAGGAACUCGGCAAAAUGACCCCGUAACUUCGGGAGAAGGGGUGCUCUUUAGGGUUAACGCCCAGAAGAGCCGCAGUGAAUAGGCCCAAGCGACUGUUUAUCAAAAACACAGGUCUCUGCUAAACCGUAAGGUGAUGUAUAGGGGCUGACGCCUGCCCGGUGCUGGAAGGUUAAGAGGAGUGGUUAGCUUCUGCGAAGCUACGAAUCGAAGCCCCAGUAAACGGCGGCCGUAACUAUAACGGUCCUAAGGUAGCGAAAUUCCUUGUCGGGUAAGUUCCGACCCGCACGAAAGGCGUAACGAUUUGGGCACUGUCUCAACGAGAGACUCGGUGAAAUCAUAGUACCUGUGAAGAUGCAGGUUACCCGCGACAGGACGGAAAGACCCCGUGGAGCUUUACUGUAGCCUGAUAUUGAAAUUCGGCACAGCUUGUACAGGAUAGGUAGGAGCCUUUGAAACGUGAGCGCUAGCUUACGUGGAGGCGCUGGUGGGAUACUACCCUAGCUGUGUUGGCUUUCUAACCCGCACCACUUAUCGUGGUGGGAGACAGUGUCAGGCGGGCAGUUUGACUGGGGCGGUCGCCUCCUAAAAGGUAACGGAGGCGCUCAAAGGUUCCCUCAGAAUGGUUGGAAAUCAUUCAUAGAGUGUAAAGGCAUAAGGGAGCUUGACUGCGAGACCUACAAGUCGAGCAGGGUCGAAAGACGGACUUAGUGAUCCGGUGGUUCCGCAUGGAAGGGCCAUCGCUCAACGGAUAAAAGCUACCCCGGGGAUAACAGGCUUAUCUCCCCCAAGAGUUCACAUCGACGGGGAGGUUUGGCACCUCGAUGUCGGCUCAUCGCAUCCUGGGGCUGUAGUCGGUCCCAAGGG